CCUACGGGUGGCAGCAGUAGGGAAUCUUCCACAAUGGGCGAAAGCCUGAUGGAGCAACGCCGCGUGGGUGAAGAAGGUCUUCGGAUCGUAAAACCCUGUUGUUAGAGAAGAAAGUGCGUGAGAGUAACUGUUCACGUUUCGACGGUAUCUAACCAGAAAGCCACGGCUAACUACGUGCCAGCAGCCGCGGUCAUACGUAGGUGGCAAGCGUUAUCCGGAUUUAUUGGGCGUAAAGGGAACGCAGGCGGUCUUUUAAGUCUGAUGUGAAAGCCUUCGGCUUAACCGGGGUAGUGCAUUGGAAACUGGGAGACGUGAGUGCAGAAGAGGAGAGUGGAACUCCAUGUGUAGCGGUGAAAUGCGUAGAGAUAUGGAAGAACACCAGUGGCGAAAGCGGCUCUCUGGUCUGUAACUGACGCUGAGGUUCGAAAGCGUGGGUAGCAAACAGGAUUAGAUACCCCUGUAGUC
rnacentral:rRNA from 1 species